rnacentral:rRNA from 1 species
AUUGAACGCUGGCGGCAGGCCUAACACAUGCAAGUCGAGCGAGCGGCGGACGGGUGAGUAAUGUCUGGGAAACCGCCCGAUGGAGGGGGAUAACUACUGGAAACGGUAGCUAAUACCGCAUACCAUCAGAUGUGCCCAGAUGGGAUUAGCUAGUAGGUGGGGUAACGGCCAACCUAGGCGACGAUCCCUAGCUGGUCGGAGAGGAUGACCAGCCACACUGGAACUGAGACACGGUCCAGACUCCUACGGGAGGCAGCAGUGGGGAAUAUUGCACAAUGGGCGCAAGCCUGAUGCAGCCAUGCCGCGUGUAUGAAGAAGGCCUUCGGGUUGUAAAGUACUGUCAGCGGGGAGGCGUUACCCGCAGAAGAAGCACCGGCUAACUCCGUGCCAGCAGCCGCGGUAAUAC